rnacentral:rRNA from 1 species
GCGUUGUCCGGAUUAUUGGGCGUAAAGCGCGCGCAGGCGGAUCAGUCAGUCUGUCUUAAAAGUUCGGGGCUUAACCCCGUGAUGGGAUGGAAACUGCUGAUCUAGAGUAUCGGAGAGGAAAGUGGAAUUCCUAGUGUAGCGGUGAAAUGCGUAGAUAUUAGGAAGAACACCAGUGGCGAAGGCGACUUUCUGGACGAAAACUGACGCUGAGGCGCGAAAGCCAGGGGAGCGAACGGGAUUAGAUACCCCGGUAGUCCUGGCCGUAAACGAUGGGUACUAGGUGUAGGAGGUAUCGACCCCUUCUGUGCCGGAGUUAACGCAAUAAGUACCCCGCCUGGGGAGUACGACCGCAAGGUUGAAACUCAAAGGAAUUGACGGGGGCCCGCACAAGCGGUGGAGUAUGUGGUUUAAUUCGACGCAACGCGAAGAACCUUACCAGGUCUUGACAUUGAUGGACAGAACUAGAGAUAGUUCCUCUUCUUCGGAAGCCAGAAAACAGGUGGUGCACGGUUGUCGUCAGCUCGUGUCGU